rnacentral:tRNA from 1 species
AUCAGGAUGGUGGAGCAGUCUAAGACACUGUGUUCUAGUUGCAGUCUCCCUAGGAGACAUGGGUUCAAAUCCCAUUCCUGAGA